ensembl:lncRNA
GGGCUGAGAGAGCUGGGGCUACUCAGCCUGCAGGAGAGAAAUCUCCAGGGAACUCUUAUUGUGUCCUUUCAGCAUCAAAAGCAGCCUACAGGAAAGCUGGUGAGGAAUUUUUUUAUAUGGGUGUGUCACAAUACAAUGGGGAGGUUGCUUUAAACUGAAAGAGGAUAGGUUUAGUUUGGAUAUUAGGAAGAAGUUUUUUACAAGAGGGGAGUGAAAAACUAGGUUUUUCUGUCAGGUUGCCGGAGAGGUGGUAGUUGCCCAUCCCUGGAAACCUUCAGUGUCAGGCAGGGCAAGGCUCUGAGCAACUUGACUUAUUUGAAAAUGUACCUGCUCAUGGCAAGGGCAUUGGACUAGAUGACCUUUAAAGGUCCUUUCCAACCCAAACCAUUUUACAAUUCUAUGAUUCUGUGACUGUGCCGGUAAAAGGCAAAGCAAGGGGUCAAGGAAAAAUAUCUGAGAGCAUAAAAAAGUAAAGGAUCAUGCUGAUGAGUCCAAGAGUUCAUCCUGGAGGCAACAUUAGGAGAUUUCAUGUUAAGAACUGGGGUGAAUCUUGGGCAGAAAGUAGGGAUGUUUUUGCUCAUUUAAUUUCUCCUGCUUUUGGGAAAAUGGGAUUUUGUAUUUUCAUAGAAUCAUAGACUUAUUUGGCUUGGAAGGGACUUAAAAGUCAUCCAGUUCAAACACCCCUUAAUUGGGCAGGGACAUCUUCCCUUGGACCAUGUUGUUCAGAGUCCCAUCCAAAUUGUUCUUGGACACUUCCAGGAGUGGGGCAUCUACAACUUCUAUAAAAAAGGUAAGUCAAAAAUCUAUGUCUAUUAUGUCUCUCUCCUCCUUAAAGUGACAAAAAGCAGUUUGAAUAUUCCAGUCUAUUUGGACUAUGAAAGACUGAUGUCACUUUCUGGCUUACAACAAUUCUUUGAGCUAUUAAUUAAAAUGAUAUAAAGCACUUGGAACCUCAUAUUAAUGACACAAUAUCUGUGCAUUUUAUCACUUGAUUUAUUGCAGUCCUGGACACUAACAGUAACUUUUCUCUGCACAUUUUUGCCCUUUGACAUUUCUGAAGCACUGCUCUGUUUUAUCUCCUGGUUUUAAACCAUUAUGAAGUUUAACUAGCCAUCUUUUUGUAUUUGCAUCCCUGUUCAGCACCUUCCUCAUUCAUUAGCUGUCAACACCAGGUACCAGCAGAGUUUCAGAAACCACUGGUGCCAAUGUCUCACAGUUCUCUAUCAGAAGCAACCAGUCACUUGUUGAAAUCUGUCAAGGUGCCCUCCUUCUAAAUAUAUAUUCAACAAUCUUCCUGUGUGGCAAAUUGAUGUUCAGUCUGUAAAAGAGAAAGCUCCAGGAAGACUUUACUGCAUCCCUCUCAGUGUCUGAAGAUGCUACAAGAAAGCUGGGAUUGCACAGUGACAAGAUAGAGUCAUGACAAAGUAACUCUCAUAAAGCAAAGCAAGCCUGAAUCCAUGAUGCAGAACGUGGUGCUUUUUUGGGUAAUGUAUGAUUGCUGAACUUUGCUUAUGCAAACAGCUGAGGGCAGGUGCAGCUACUUCUGGGGACAAGCAAGGUUCAGCACAUUGAUUAAGGAUCUGUCAACCCUGGAGCACUGGGGACUUGCCUUCCCAAGCAGCAGGCUGGGUCAGAGCAUGAAGACAAAGAUUCUUGCAACCUGAAUAACAAAAGUGAGAGUCAACUCCCAUGUCUUCAUCUAUUACAUUCCCUCCAAUUAUGGGGAAAGGGGGACCAAGCAUCACAGUGAAACCUUUCCUCCAUGAUUCCUGACCGGACAUGCUCUUCUCCACUGACUCCAGAGGGAGUCUCACAUUUUCAAGCUCUCUAAAGGCCAUCAUUUGAAUCCUACAAUUCUCAUCUUCCCAGCCUGGUUAGCAAAUGCAGUUCUCACCACACAGAACUCCAAGGGAAUUAAUUCAGCAGGGCUGAAGGUCUCACACACAAACCUUGCUGCCCACCAGUGCAGCAAAACAGUACAUGGAGGAUCACUGGGAGACCACAUGGGAUUGCACCAUCUUCCUCCUGAUUCUGUUGAGGCAGUUUGCUCAUGUUGGACACAGUCAGAGCAACAUCUCCACUUAAUACAUUGGUCAGGCUGCCCAUGACUUGAGUUGUCACUCAAAAUGUUUAAAUGGGGACCCUCCCCAUUGAUCAUUGCACACAAAACAAAAACCCAAAACAUUUUCUAGGCAAAUACACAAACUAAAAGUCCUUCCUGUCUUCUUCACCUCUCCCUUCACAGAUUUUAUGAUAAUUUUCUAGUGUUUUUCUGUAUGAAUAAAUCUAUCUUUGUUAAAAAGCAGAACUGACAAUAUGGAAAGCAACUCUUCUCCCAGCAGAGAUAAUAAUACAUGAAAAUGUCAUUACAAACCAGUUUCAUAUAUAGCAUCUAGAUCUAGGAAUUAUAAAAUAUCUCAAUUUACCAGCUGCUAUGAAUCAAUGCAAGGAAGUAGUUGACAAGAACUACAGUUACAAGCUGACAUUGGAGUUCACUUGAGGACAAACCUGCUUUUCCAAUUUAUGCAAGGAAAAGAAGAAUGACAAGGGCAGAGAAAGGGUGGAAAAGCACAGCAAAAAGCCAUAAUUACCACAAGUCACUGUUCUUUUCUGGUGAUCUUUUUGGAAGAUAAACACAAGCUCAAAGAUUACCUAAAUGAAAGCAACAGACUGGGUAAUUGUUUUGCUCCUUAUAUCUCCUCCUAUGUAGUUGAAGGACAUGUUACUUUCCCAAAGUUUGGAUUAGCACCUGUAAAUUGUGAGCAUUCUGCAAGCAAUGAGAGAGGCAGUUCUUGGCAGCCCUGACCUCGGAUCUGCUGUGAUCUGAGCCUGGUUUGUCAUCUCCUGCAGUGACCUUACUGCCUCCCUGGAGCAGUCCAGUGAUCUGCCUGAAUAUUUUUAGAACAUCUAUGGUGACAGUCAUUCUGUUUUCCUAAGGACUGGAAAAAAAAAAAAAAAAAAAAAAAAAA